rnacentral:rRNA from 1 species
UACGUAGGGUGCAAGCGUUAAUCGGAAUUACUGGGCGUAAAGCGUGCGCAGGCGGUUUUUGUAAGUCUGACGUGAAAUCCCCCGGGCUUAACCUGGGAAUUGCGUUGGAGACUGCAAGGCUAGAAUCUGGCAGAGGGGGGGUAGAAUUCCACGUGUAGCAGUGAAAUGCGUAGAGAUGUGGAGGAACACCGAUGGCGAAGGCAGCCCCCUGGGUCAAGAUUGACGCUCAUUGCACGAAAGCGUGGGGAGCAAACAGG